GACACGGUGGCCGAGCGGUUAUGGCGAUUGACUUGAAAUCAAUUUCAUGAAAAUGAGCGCAGGUUCGAUUCCUGUCCGUGUCU
rnacentral:tRNA from 1 species